GACGAACGCUGGCGGCGUGCUUAACACAUGCAAGUCGAACGGUGAACCAGAGCUUGCUCUGGGGAUCAGUGGCGAACGGGUGAGUAACACGUGGGCAACCUGCCCCAGACUCUGGGAUAACCUCGGGAAACCGAUGCUAAUACCGGAUACGACCACUUCGGACAUCCGACGGUGGUGGAAAGUUUUUCGGUCUGGGAUGGGCCCGCGGCCUAUCAGCUAGUUGGUGGGGUAAUGGCCUACCAAGGCGACGACGGGUAGCCGGCCUGAGAGGGCGACCGGCCACACUGGAACUGAGACACGGUCCAGACUCCUACGGGAGGCAGCAGUGGGGAAUAUUGCACAAUGGGCGAAAGCCUGAUGCAGCGACGCCGCGUGAGGGACGACGGCCUUCGGGUUGUAAACCUCUUUCUAGCAGGACGAAGCGAAAGUGACUGUACCUGCAGAAGAAGCACCGGCUAACUACGUG
rnacentral:rRNA from 1 species